AACCUAGCACACCUGCGGUGUGUACCUGCGGAGGGAUCAUUAAAAAAAUCCUUUUUGCCCGCGGACUUUGCUCCAAGGCGCAAAAAACCCACACUGUGUGCACCGUUAUCGUUUCUUUGGCAGGGGCUUGGGGUGGUUUUUUCCGCCUCAACUUCUCCUCCGGCUCUAUCUCUUUUUUUUUGGGACAGCUGGACAUGGGAAGCAGUUUACCCUGCCAAGUAACCCUUUAAAUCACGCUUG
rnacentral:misc_RNA from 1 species